AGAAUGAGCAAUGUAACAGAAUUCAUUCUGCUGGGCCUGACCCAGAAUCCAGAACUGCAGAAAUUCUUAUUUGCUGUGUUUUUAAUUGCAUACUUGAUCACACUGGCAGGUAACGUGCUCAUCUCGGUCACCAUCUUCAUCAGCCCAGCCCUGGGUUCUCCCAUGUACUUUUUUCUGUCCUACUUGUCCAUUUUAGAUGCUUUCUACUCUUCUUCCAUAGUACCCAAAAUGAUCUUUGACUUGAUCUCUGACAAGAACACCGUAUCCUUCAAUGGCUGCAUGACUCAACUCUUUGCUGAACAUUUCUUUGCUGGAGCUGAGAUCAUUGUAUUAGUUGCCAUGGCCUAUGACCGCUAUGUAGCCAUCUGUAAGCCAUUGCAUUACAUUACUAUCAUGAGCCGACCUGUCUGUGCUUUCUUGCUGGGAAUGGCUGGGAUUUUAGGCUUUCUUCAUGGAGGGAUCCAGGUUUUGUUCAUGGUGCAGUUACCAUUCUGUGGCCCCAAUGUCAUUGACCAUUUUAUGUGUGAUUUAAUACCUCUCCUGGAACUAGCCUGUACAGACACUCAUAUUUUGGGGCCCUUGAUUGUUGCCAACAGUGGAUCAGUGUGUUUUCUCAUUUUUUCUAUGUUGGUUGCUUCUUAUAUUGUCNGCUUCUUACAUUGUCAUCCUGUGCUCUCUGAGGACCCAUAGCUCUGAAGGGCGUCGCAAAGCCCUGUCUACCUGUGCUUCUCAUGUUACUGUUGUCAUCUUAUUCUUUGUACCUUGUUCAUUUCUGUACCUGAGACCCAUGACCUCCUUCCCUGCUGACAAAGCUGUGACUGUGUUUUAUACCAUAGUAACUCCUAUGUUGAACCCUUUAAUUUACACCCUCAGAAAUGCAGAAGUGAAAAAUGUCAUGAAGAAACUCCAGGGGCAAAUAAUGAAAAUUGGUGAUAAAUGA